AGCACCAAGUGAUACAGAGGAAAUCUCAGGCUAGAUUAGUUGAUACCAUAUUCAGAAAGAAAGAGAUCAAGAAAUUACUUCACUCUUAAAACAUCCCUCUGCAAUCCAUCUUCUGUCACAACUGACUCCUGAGAAUUCUCUCACAAUCUCUUCUGGCACUCUUCCUCCUUCUAAUCAAGAGGAAAAUAGCACACCAUUUCAUCAACAUGACAUCCCCUCUCAUCGUUUUCCAGUUCUCCAUUUAUGUGCUGAUUAAACUAGCUUCUGCUAAUAUGGAUUUCAAGGAUAAUUUUUUAACACUGAUAGCUUAACAUAUUAUUGACUUAAUGAUAUGAUCAAGUGGCAAUCAGGACUCCUUUAAAUGUGGGUGAGGUUUCUAUUUUUUUGAGAAGGAGCAAUAUAAUAGUUUAAAAUUACAUUAAACAAUGAAGGUGUGUUUUAAGCACUGGGACAUAAGACCAGGAUUUACAUUGCUAUGUUUGCUGCUGUAUUCUCAACUUGUAGAUGGAUGCCUGGCACACAGUAGGUGGAUAUUUGUUAAAGCAAUGAAGAACGACAUGUGAAUGGAAAAUGAUGUGGCAAUACAGAAUUGUGACUAUCCUACUCAAUGUGAUGACGAUGAAGACCUUAAUGAUGAUCUAUUUCCUCUCAAUGAAUAGCUGGAGUGCAGAGGCACCAUCUCUGCUCACUGCAACCUCC